rnacentral:sRNA from 1 species
GGAUUUGAGAGUGAUCUCCUUAGGGCACAACUUUGCUUGCUGAGUUGGCUGAUCUGUCUAGGGAGGGCUGAGCUUCCUGCUGCCCCACUGCUUCACGCAUGGUUUCUGAAGCUGGGUACUCCAAAGAAGAGGAUGGCCUCCCCUGAUAGAGGAGGGCUGGGCGUCUGUCCAGGGCAAACCAGUAUGAGUGGCCCCCUGAUGAAGACUCAAAACAAGCUCACAAGUGAGAUGGUUACCCUUUUAAGGGAGAGCUAGUGCUAUUUUUUGAUGAUUCACAAAGAUAACCAAUUGGGAAUAAAAAGUAAAGGUAGGUAUGUCCAUUUUAUU